GCCCGCGUAGCUCAACGGAUAGAGCGUCUGUCUUCGGAACAGAAGGUUGGGGGUUCGAUUCCCUCCGCGGGUACCA
rnacentral:tRNA from 1 species